rfam:Aliifodinibius roseus strain DSM 21986 genome assembly, contig: Ga0134108_121
GCGCCUGUAGCUCAACUGGAUAGAGCACCUGAUUACGGAUCAGGAGGCUGGGGGUUCGAAUCCUCCCAGGCGUA